GAUGAACGCUGGCGGCGUGCCUAAUACAUGCGAGUCGAGCGAACAGACGAGGAGCUUGCUCCUCUGACGUUAGCGGCGGACGGGUGAGUAACACGUGGAUAACCUACCUAUAAGACUGGGAUAACUUCGGGAAACCGGAGCUAAUACCGGAUAAUAUAUUGAACCGCAUGGUUCAAUAGUGAAAGACGGUUUUGCUGUCACUUAUAGAUGGAUCCGCGCCGCAUUAGCUAGUUGGUAAGGUAACGGCUUACCAAGGCAACGAUGCGUAGCCGACCUGAGAGGGUGAUCGGCCACACUGGAACUGAGACACGGUCCAGACUCCUACGGGAGGCAGCAGUAGGGAAUCUUCCGCAAUGGGCGAAAGCUUGACGGAGCAACGCCGCGUGAGUGAUGAAGGUCUUCUGAUCGUAAAACUCUGUUAUUAGGGAAGAACAAAUGUGUAAGUAACUAUGCACGUCUUGACGGUACCUAAUCAGAAAGCCACGGCUAACUACGUG
rnacentral:rRNA from 1 species